GAUACGAUUGCACUUCAUUAGCAAUAGAAUAGGCUAAAGGGCUGUUCGUUUGGUUGCCGCAGGUACCGGCGGCAGCGGCAGCGUCAACAUUCGGCGUCAACUCUUGUUCGUUUCGUUGACGCAGCGUCCGGACGCCGCGUCCUGCGGCUGACGCCGAUAAAACCUGCGGUCGCGACAUAAAACCUGCGGCCAAUAAGGUAAUUUACUAUUUUACCCUUACUAUGUUUUAGUAUUUACACAAAACCUAAACCUAAAUUUGACGCAGUCGGGGAAAGUUUGACGCAGCUCCAUCUCUAUCUCUCUCUCUCGAUCUCCAUUUCUAGAACCAGUGAAGAUCUCGAGAGCUCUCUCCAUCUCGUGCUCUCUCCAUCUCAAGCUCUCUCUCCAUCUCGAGCUCCCUCCAUCUCAAGCUCUCUCUCCAUCUCGAGCUCUCUCCAUCUCGGGCUCUCUCCCCGUCACGAGCUGUCUCCAUCUCAGGCUCUCUGGCUCUCUCUCCGUCACGAUCUGUCUCCAUCUCGGGCUGUCUCUCUUCUCCGAAGAAAACCCAUCUCCGAUCUCAUUUUGAAGCUCUCUUACCCAUCUCCGAUCUCAUCUCGAAGCUCUCUUCUCCGAGCUCAUCUCAUCUCCAAGCUCUCUCUUCUCCUUUUCUCGUUGAGGCUCUCUCAUCUCAGGCUCCAUUGAUCUCAGGCUUGCUCAGACCUAGUGGAAAAGACUCAGAUCUUCUCAAGCUCAUUCUCUCAAGCUCAGACCCUCUCAAACUCACUUUCUACCGCUGUUCCUCUCACUUUUUAAGAUGUCGACGUCAAAAGAUCGACGAUGGCGCUACACAACUUCAUACGUGAUUCACAUCGGGAAGAUCAUGAUUUUGUAUAGUGGCAAAAUGGUGAUGAUGGAGAAGGAGAAGCUGAUAGUGACGGUGAUGAAGAAGAAGGUGAUGAUGAUGAUGAUGAUGAAGAUGAUGGUGGUGGUGGAGGUGGUGGUGGUGGUGGUGGUGGACAUAUUGUAUAUGAGCCGACAGGUGAUAGAGCGAUGGAAGAUUUGCGUGAUAACAUCACAAAUGAAUAUGGUAGAGGUCGUUUACCGUAUUAAAUGUUUUAGUUGAUGAUUUAAUUUUUUUUGCUUAUAACUUUGAUUGUCAUUUAAAUGUGAUAUUUAUUUAAGACUUGAUGUAAUAUUUAGUUUUGUUUAUGAUAAAUAUUUUGAAUUAUUAUUUUGUUUCUAAUUAAGCUUAUGAUGUAUGAAAAAAAAUUGUUACAUUUGUAUAAUUUACAUUUGUAUAAUUGACCAAAAAAUUAGCCGCUGCGUCUGUCAAAUGAACAACCCAAAAAUCUGCUUCAUCAACUUCCUGCGUUUUCUAAACGAACAAUAAUCUGCGGCAGCGUCAGCGGCAGCUUCUGCGUCAGCGUCUGCGAAACGAACAACAACUGUUUUCAUUGACGCUGCCGCCGCCGCCGACGCAGACGCUGCCGCUGACGCAGACGCUGCCGCUGACGCCGAAACAUGCGGCAACCAAACGAACAGGGCUUAAAACUCUAACGCUGACACAAA